UCGAGAAUCUUCGGCAAUGAGCGCAAGCUUGACCGAGCGACGCCGCGUGCGGGAUGAAGGCCCUCGGGUUGUAAACCGCUGUCGAGGGGGAGGAAGGCGCAAGCUUGACCUAUCCCUGGAGGAAGCACGGGCUAAGUUCGUGCCAGCAGCCGCGGUAAGACGAACUGUGCGAACGUUGUUCGGAAUCACUGGGCUUAAAGGGUGCGUAGGCGGCCCGUUAAGUCGGGGGUGAAAUACUUCGGCUCAACCGGAGAAUUGCCUUCGAUACUGGCGGGCUAGAGCAAGGUAGGGGUCGCGGGAACUGCCAGUGGAGCGGUGAAAUGCGUUGAUAUUGGCAGGAACGCCGGUGGUGAAGACGCGCGGCUGGACCUUUUCUGACGCUGAGGCACGAAAGCCAGGGGAGCAAACGGGAUUAGAUACCCCGGUAGUCCUGGCCCUAAACGAUGGGUACUAGGUAGUGGGUUCGACACGGACUCGCUGCCGAAGCAAAAGUGUUAA
rnacentral:rRNA from 1 species